GGAAUCUUGCGCAAUGGGCGAAAGCCUGACGCAGCAACGCCGCGUGCGGGAUGAAGGCCUUCGGGCUGUAAACCGCUUUCAGCAGGAACGAAAAUGACGGUACCUGCAGAAGAAGGAGCGGCCAACUACGUGCCAGCAGCCGCGGUGACACGUAGGCUCCAAGCGUUGUCCGGAUUUAUUGGGCGUAAAGAGCUCGUAGGCGGUUUAGUAGGUCGGGUGUUAAAACUCUGGGCUCAACCCGGAGAGGCCAUCCGAUACUGCUGUGACUUGAGUUCAGGAGGGGAGCGGGGAAUUCCUAGUGUAGCGGUGAAAUGCGCAGAUAUUAGGAGGAACACCGGUGGCGAAGGCGCCGCUCUGGACUGAAACUGACGCUGAGGAGCGAAAGCAUGGGUAGCAAACAGGAUUAGAUACCCUGGUAGUCCAUGCCGUAAACGGUGGGCACUAGGUGUGGGUUCCAACUAACGGGAUCCGCGCCGUCGCUAACGCAUUAAGUGCCCCGCCUGGGGAGUACGGUCGCAAGACUAAAACUCAAAGGAAUUGACGG
rnacentral:rRNA from 1 species